AUUGAACGCUGGCGGAAUGCUUUACACAUACAAGUCGAACGGUAGAGGGGGCAACCCCUCGAGAGUGGCGAACGGGUGAGUAAUAUAUCGGAACGUGCCCAGUCGUGGGGGAUAACGUAGCGAAAGUUACGCUAAUACCGCAUACGAUCUAAGGAUGAAAGCGGGGGAUCGCAAGACCUAGCGCGAUUGGAGCGGCCGAUAGCAGAUUAGGUAGUUGGUGGGGGAAAGGCUCACCAAGCCAACGCGCUGGAGUUGGUCUGAGAGGACGACCCACCACGAUGGAACUGAGACACGGUCCAGACUCCUACGGGAGGCAGCAGUGGGGAAUUUUGGACAAUGGACGCAAGUCUGAUCCAGCCAUUCCGCGUGCAGGAUGAAGGCCCUCGGGUUGUAAACUGCUUUUGUACGGAACGAAAAGGUCUCUCUUAAUACGGGGGGCUCAUGACGGUACCGUAAGAAUAAGCACCGGCUAACUACGUGCCAGCAGCCGCCGUAA
rnacentral:rRNA from 1 species